GGAGGAAAAGAAACCAACUGGGAUUCCCUGAGUAACGGCGAGCGAAAAGGGAACAGCCCAGCGCCGAAUCCCCAGUCUUCGGCUGCGGGACAUGUGGCGUUCAGGAGUGAGCGCGCCGAUUUCGGACUGGACAGCAAGUCCCCCUGACUGGGGCAUAUCCAGAGCGGGUGCGAGGCCCAUAGCCGCCCGGUCCGACUCGGAUGCGAUCUCCUUGGAGUCAGGUUGCUUGGGAGUGCAGCCCUAAUCGGGUGGUAAACUCCACCUAAGGCUAAAUACCGCCGUGAGACCGAUAGCAAACAAGUACCGUGAGGGAAAGUUGCAAAGAACUUUGAAGAGAGAGUUCAAGAGUACGUGAAACUGCUCAGAGGUAAACGGGUGGGUCCUCGAAAUCCUGUGGCGAGAGGAUUCAGUCCGGCGGGGUGGACGCGGUAGUCGGAAAACGGAAGGGCUUCCCGGAGCAGGGGCCGUCCGACUACGCGCCAUCCGUCCUGCCCGACGCAUUUGUCUCUCGUCCGAAGGACGCUGCAGCCGGUCGGGCAGCGCAAGCGUGACGGCCUGAAAGUCGGGAGCGGCAGGUGGCCGGUGGCGUGCUUCGGCGCGGUGCCGGUUGUUAGCCAUCUCGUCAGUGGCCCGUUGCUCGACCGAGGUAUCACCAGGCCCCCUUGGGGGUUUCUUCGUCUCCUCCUCGGAAGUCGGGACAGAGCGUCGCAGGCGAAAUCCGUCAUUCUGUCUCACUCUUUCGGAGUGGUCGGACAUACGGAAGGCGCCGCUAGUGACGCCGGGCUCGUCGGAGGUCGGAGGCUGGCAGCGAGUAGGUCGGUCACCCACCCNNNNNNNNNNNNNNNNNNNNNNNNNNNNNNNNNNNNNNNNNNNNNNNNNNNNNNNNNNNNNNNNNNNNNNNNNNNNNNNNNNNNNNNNNNNNNNNNNNNNCGCACCAACGACCCGUUUUAUCCGGUUCGCCCGGUGGACGGAGUGUGAGCGUACACGUUGGGACCCGAAAGAUGGUGAACUAUGCCUGGACAGGACGAAGCCAGAGGAAACUCUGGUGGAGGUUCGCAGCGGUUCUGACGUGCAAAUCGAUCGUCAGAUCCGGGUCUAGGGGCGAAAGACUAAUCGAACCAUCUAGUAGCUGGUUCCCUCCGAAGUUUCCCUCAGGAUAGCUGGCGCUCGUCUGAAUCAGUCUCAUCCGGUAAAGCGAAUGAUUAGAGGCCUUGGGGCCGAAACGACCUCAACCUAUUCUCAAACUUUAAAUGGGUGAGAAGUCCGCCUUGCUCGAUCGAAGGCCGGACGCUCGGAUGAGAGUGCCCAGUGGGCCACUUUUGGUAAGCAGAACUGGCGCUGUGGGAUGAACCAAACGCCGGGUUACGGCGCCCGAUGCGAGACGCUCAUGAGACCCCAUGAAAGGUGUUGGUUGCUCCAGACAGCAGGACGGUGGCCAUGGAAGUCGGAAUCCGCUAAGGAGUGUGUAACAACUCACCUGCCGAAGCAACUAGCCCUGAAAAUGGAUGGCGCUCGAGCGUCGAGCCCAUACCCGGCCGCUGCGGCAGAGCUCCCAGUGAGGUUUACGCCGCAGUGAGUAGGAGGGUCGCGGCGGGGUGCGUGUAAGGUGCCGGGCGCGAGCCCGCCUGGAGCCCCCGUCGGUGCAGAUCUUGGUGGUAGUAGCAAAUACUCAAGUGAGAACCUUGAGGACUGAAGUUGGAGAAGGGUUCCAUGUGAACAGCAGUUGGACAUGGGUCAGUCGGCCCUAAGGGAUCGGAGAAAUCCGUUCCGAAGCGGGACCUUACCGGAGCGUGAGUCCCGCUUCCGACCGAAAGGGAAUGGGGUCAAUAUUCCCCAACCUGGACACGGAGAUCGGGUCUUCGGGCCCAAGUGCGGCGACGCAACCGAACUCGGAGAAGUCGACGGAGGACCCGGGGAAGAGUUGUCUUUUCUUUGUAAGAGUUCGUGUCCCUGGAAUCGGCUCGUCCGGCGAUAGGGACGCUGUUCUCGUAAAAGCACCGCGGCUCUUGCGGUGUCCGGUCCGCCUCUGUAGGCCCUUGCAAAUCCGAGGGAGAUGGUGUGAUUUUCGUGCCGGACCGUACCCAUAUCCGCAGCAGGUCUCCAAGGU
rnacentral:rRNA from 1 species